rfam:Triticum aestivum genome assembly, contig: Triticum_aestivum_CS42_TGACv1_scaffold_114324_2AS
CUUAUACUCCCUCCGUUCUGAAUUACUUGUCUUGGAUUUGUCUAGAUACGAAUGUAUCUAGACUCAUUUUAGUGCUAGAUACCUCCGUAUCUAGACAAAUCUAAGACAAGUAAUUCGGAACGGAGGGAUUAUCUU